UCAAGGGGUGGGAAGCCGGUGGUUUAGGGGGGGCUGGUGGGAGACACUUGGGGGAUUCAGGAGGCUGGAGAUUUCGGGGACCCAGAUCUAACAACAGAAACUAUUUUCCCUUUCCCACGAGGCGCUGAGCUUUCCCGCAGGCCAGAGACGGAGUCACCCUAUGAGGAACUCCAAGGACGGACCCAGGAUAUUUACAGCGAGUUGGUCUAUCCCCAAGCUGGUUCCCACAAAGCUCCGCUGAAAUUCUGACCAGCCUGGGACCCCUCUGCACGGCCGGGACCUUAAACACAAAGAGAAGCCAUCGCUCAAUGGGGGCAGAUCCCAGCGGGGUCCACAAGCGCCGGCUUUCCAUUGUGCCGGGGGGUGCUCAAGCCCUGGCUCUGUCCCAGGCCCCAUCCCCACGCCACCCCUUCCCUCUUGUCCCAGGCCCCAUCCCCACGCCACCCCUUCCCUCAAGGCCACACCCCUGCCCUG